rnacentral:rRNA from 1 species
UACGGAGGAUCCAAGCGUUAUCCGGAAUCAUUGGGUUUAAAGGGUCCGUAGGCGGUUUGGUAAGUCAGUGGUGAAAGCCCAUCGCUCAACGGUGGAACGGCCAUUGAUACUGCCAGACUUGAAUUAUUAGGAAGUAACUAGAAUAUGUAGUGUAGCGGUGAAAUGCUUAGAGAUUACAUGGAAUACCAAUUGCGAAGGCAGGUUACUACUAAUGGAUUGACGCUGAUGGACGAGAGCGUGGGUAGCGAACAGG